UGAGGCACAUGGUCGCCCCCUAUUGCCCGGGCUUUUCAGGGCACUGGGAUUACAACUGUCUGCCAUGCGAUCCUCACCAAGAAUUCUACCCAGAAAAUAAAACAACCCCUCCCCAAAAAAAGAACCAUGCACAAACACAGCAUGGCGGGGUUCUGCACCUCCCCCGUCCCCAGCCCUGCAAAGGAAGGCCCCCGGAACUGCUGGGCAGAGGUUCCCUAUAAGGUGACCCAGCCACCCUGCCUGAUAUGACCGUUGGAGACAUUUUUAACAAACACAGGGAAAGGUGUAGCUGUUUUAUCAGUGCCUAAUUCCAAACUUCCUGUGGCAUACGGAUAAUUUAUUUUAGAUCCUACGCAGGAAUAAAACAUGUAGAACAUA